CCUACGGGUGGCAGCAGUGAGGAAUAUUGGUCAAUGGGCGAGAGCCUGAACCAGCCAAGUAGCGUGAAGGAUGACAGCCCUACGGGUGGUAAACUUCUUUUAUAAAGGAAUAAAGUGAGGCACGUGUGCGAUUUUGUAUGUACCAUAUGAAUAAGGAUCGGCUAACUCCGUGCCAGCAGCCGCGGUAAUACGGAGGAUCCGAGCGUUAUCCGGAUUUAUUGGGUUUAACGGGAGCGUAGUGGGGUUGUUAAGUCAGUUGUGAAAGUUUGCGGCUCAACCGUAAAAUUGCAUUUGAUACUGGCAGCCUUGAGUACAGUUGAGGUCGGCGGAAUUCGUGUUGUAGCGGU
rnacentral:rRNA from 1 species